AGACAUAUCGUUGCGUGUGGACGGGCCUUUAGUUGUCUUGAAGUCAGUCAUUCUCUUGCCCGUAAACAAAUGCAACAUCUUUGAAAAUUUGAAAAAAAUGUUUUUAGUGGACGACUAUAGAGUGAAAAAAAGUGAUUUACACUUUUACCAUACUUACCGUUCAGCUGGGGGCGUAUUGAAUGUUUAUCAGAGUAAAUAUUAGUAAAAAAUUGCAUCGCAUGCAUUUCUUGAAAGGUAUACUUUGGCAAAAACGAGAGAAUUUAUGACUACUGUUACAUUAUUUUGGCGAUCUGAAGAAGUGAAUGCUUUGCAGAGUCAACACUCUGUGAAAUCACCUGCAAACCAAAGAAGUUUCAGUAACUUAGCGAUGACAGUUAUACAUGACUCAAAGAUAAAACCUAAGCGAUCCUUGGAAUGAGGAUGCAUUGGACCACACUGAGUGUGACAGCUUCAAGGAGGAAGAAAGGAAGAUUAGAGUUUAAUAUCCAGUCAACAGCGUGUUUGUUCCAGACAAAAUGUUAUCAGAAUUGAAUUUCCUGACAAAAUUAUUUCUUGUGAACACGGCUUCACAAUAAAUAAAAUUUGUAAACUGGAUUUUCUACCCUCAGUAAAAGUUGUGUUUGCAUUACUUGUAGUAAUAUAUACUUUAAUAUUUGUCAUCUAGCAAAACAAGUAAUCAUAAAAAAAUCAGUAAUUAGUCAUUGCUGCAGUGUAUGGUGGUUUCUGUCAGGUAUUAGGGCAUAUUGUUACACUGCCAUUUUAGUUCCACUUCCUCAAUCAGCAUAUGACCAUGUGCAAGUGGUAGGUAGAAAGAAUGGAUCAGUACACAAUAGGAGUGUAAAAAUAGACAGUACCAGAUUCAAAUACGGUAUAACACAUGUAAAUGGCAUUUCUACUCUCUUUUUAUAAGAGGACAAUGGCCACCAAUGACAAUGUUCAUGCUUUUAUAAAUGUUUCAGUAGAUAUAGUCCCCUUUUUUGCGUCUUGUUUUGAUACUGUUUGUAAAAUAUGUACAGUAUUUAAGUGAAAAUUUAGAAAGCUGAUUCUUUAUAUUCAUAUAAUUUCCUGUUGUUUCUGUAAUUUAUUUCUUACUAGUUAGCUGGACAAUGAUUUUUUUAUUACACUGAAUGUGCCAAAUAUAUAUUAUGCAAACAUUACUUUCCUCUUUUGUUACUCUGUCAAUGCUUUUGAUUUAAUGUAUUUUGUCAUAUCUUUCCUUAGAGGAGAGAUGCAAUAGUUGUAAAGUGCACAGAAAUAAUAAAUUUUUGGCUUGUGGUAUGUAAUAGUAUGUACAAUCAAAUUUUAGAAUGUUUCAUAAGGAAAUAAUGAGAAGAAUUGUUUGGAAGUUUGAAGUUUUUGAUGCAGCAUUUUAGAUCAUCACAGUUUGUAACCUCACUUAUUUAGACACUGUCAGAAUCAUGGUGCCCUCAUGUGCAUAUUUCUUCUGUAAUCUUAGUAAACCCAGUUGUUGCAUUUCCAAAAGAAAUUAGAAAGCUACUGCUCAGAAUAAACCACCAAUAAAGUUCCGUAGCACAUUUGGCAAUCAAUGUAACAAGCAUUUUGUUACAUACUUCUGAUACCAAUCAGUAGUACUGAGUUCUUCAGUUUUUGGCUUGCACAGAAUGUGCUAAUCAGUUAUCUUUAUCAGUCAGAUGCAUAUCAUCCUGGUCAAUUAAAUUUAAGUUUUGAUGUAUCAGAUUGCACUGUCUAUAGCAGAAAUACUAGUCCAUUUCACACACCCCUCCCUCAUCUGUAAUUGGGCCUUCUUAUUUAGUUACAAAUUUGAUUUUUGUUUAAAAAUGAAUAUCUGUAUGAAGUAUGAGUACAGGUGCUAUGAUAGCAUUAUUGACAAUCCUGUCGCUAUGAGUUUUGUGUAUCUUGUAAUGGAUGUUUUUAAUGUUUAUGCCCAACUAAAUUAUAAUUGCAAGAGAGAAUACAGUAUUGAGGAAAUUACUUCUGUUUUGAUUUGACGUAGACAAACAAAUUGAUUAAAGUUUUUGAACAUAAUCUCUGUUUUACUAAUUUAUAUGUGUUGAAAAAAUAGAUAAAUAAGUGCUCAAAACAUUGUUUUGAUCAUAGUUUUCUUUUCAGUUAUGCAGCAAAUAACUGUUUGGUUACAAGAUGUAGUGUUGUGCAGGAUCAAGUGAAUUAUGUUAAAGCAUGUAAUUUGAAUACUCUUAUCCUUUGAUUCAUUAGUUUUGUAUGAAAUUAUCAAGAUUAUUACAGUUUCAUCAUCCCUGUAUUUGGAUGUGAGAUUUUUUCUCUGUAAAUGAAGAGACUGUUUAAAAUGUUUUUUCUGUUGUAGUAUUUUAUGAACUAUACACUAUUCUUGUAAGGUUUGUAUUCAAAAUACUCUUUACUUAUUCAUUUAUUCAGAUUCAGUGGGACUGUCUGCAUUAAACUGUAGUUUGUAGAAUAAAAACAGCAUUUAUGAAUGAGAGUAAGUGGUUGUGUAGUUAUAUGGUUGUUUUCAUGCAACUUUAAAAUCAGUUGCAGCUCACCACGGUGUACACUAAGCUAUAAAAAUGUAUCUUUAUAUUUUUUGUGCCUUUUUGAAAAUUAUUAAUGCUUAGGUAUGAGUAUCUUUUCACAUCAAGAGGCACAAAAUCAAUAUAAAGAACUCACAUUCAGAAUAAGAAAAUGUGCCAUAAAAGCAGACGUAAAAUUAAAUCUGAAAAUUUGAAGUUUAUCACCUGAUACUGAAAUUUACAAAAUGGAUUACAGCUUGGUGCAAAAUAAUUACAGACAUUUGUCCAGUUCUAAAUAUUUUUCUUUUCUUUUUCUGUUAUACAGUUUCUUUAGUUAAUAUUCAUGAUUUUUUCAUUUUAUUUUCUUGUUUGGCCUCUCUUUCUUAAAGUGAUGAUUAUU